rnacentral:rRNA from 1 species
UACCAGCUCUCCGAGUGGUGGGGAUGCUUAUUGGGCCUAAAGCAUUCGUAGCCUGCUUGACAAGUCCUCCGUUAAAUCCAACGAUUCAAUCGUUGGGCUGCGGGGGAUACUGUCCGGCUAGGGGGCGGGAGAGGCCGACGGUAUCCUCGGGGUAGGGGUGAAAUCCUAUAAUCCCGGGAGGACCACCAGUGGCGAAGGCUGUCGGCUAGAACGCGCUCGACGGUGAGGGAUGAAAGCUGGGGGAGCGAACCGGAUUAGAUACCCGGGUAGUCCCAGCUGUAAACGAUGCAGGCUAGGUGUUGGCGCGGCUACGUGCCGCUCCAGUGCCGCAGGGAAGCCGUUAAGCCUGCCGCCUGGGAAGUACGGCCGCAAGGCUUAAACUUAAGGAAUUGGCGGGGGAGCACCACAAGGUGUGAGGCUUGCGGUUU